AGGUGGGCCGACCGGAACGUUUCACCGCGUGCUGCUGAGGCUGUUGCUAUGGGGAUACUUGGGAGCCCGUAAACCCAGGCGUCACCAUCAUAAUGAUAGUGAGCGCGGGGCGUUAUGAUAGGGAAUCAGUGGGUGAAUGCCAUCUGAUUCGGGAGGUUUUUCCAUGCGUGUCAACACAGGAAAGGCCAUCACAGAGUUGGAUUGUUUCCUUCAAAAGGUAGAGGAGACAGGCUGAAUGGAGGCAUCUGCUUCAGCGGUUCAUCUCGGAGCGUCCAGGACCAGUGGCGUGUUGAAGAUGGAUGGAGAGUCCUGGACAGGGAUUUAAAGUCCCCCCGAUUUCCAAUCACACAUUCCUGAGGGAUGGUUCUGCCUGAUGAAUGAUCUUUAUUGAGGAGAAGGAGUUAAAAGAAGCAUGUCAUUGCUCUCAUUUGAUGGUGUUUCUAUGUGCCAUGGUGGCUCCUACUUCCAUUUGGCACCAGAUGCUGCAGCCAACACUUUGGAUGAAGUGGUUUAUCAAAACAGGAUUCUCGUCAGACACGAGGUGUAUUGGCAAUAUUCUACAACUGAGGGUCAUUUGUGUACAAAGGUCUGUCCUAUACACUGCUAUUGCUUGGAUUUAGUGUGAUGAAAAACUCAUGGGAGGAUUUUCAAAGAAGCUGAGCUCAGACUGAGACAAAAUCUUGACCUGAGGUGCAUUUGAGAAAUGGUUUGUAAAUCCAGAUUUUUAAGAAAUAAAUACAGCUGAAAGAA